CCGCCAAGCCGGGGGCGGGAGCGGUCUCUGGUGUCAAAUGAGACCUGCGCUGCGUGCACGGGGCCCCUUCCCUGGGGAAGGCGCCUGUGAGGAGAGAGCCCCUCAGAGCAGCCUGCGGCCCCGAGCAUAUGAAAAUCAUGGCCCCUCUCCCCCAGCUUAAUGCCAUCCGAGUACAUGGCGGUGCUUUGUAUUCGCUUUCAGAUGUAGCCGUGAACAUCAAACUUGAACACGUCGAAGCUGGAGUCAGAUAAUUUCAAUUGCUCUUCACAUGCAAGAAUGAAAACCCUGUUCAUCUAUGUACUCUUCUAGAAAUAUCUGCUCAAAGAUUAUGAGUGUAUAUAAUCAAUCACCUACAUAAAAAGACCAUCUAAGCAGAAACUGUAACCAACCUCACAUUUGCAUUAGGUUGAUACAAACUGUUUAUAAAAAUUAAUUAGUUUACACAGUGGUAGAUGUAAAAUAGUGAAUUAAAUUUUUUUUUAAAAACUGGUACAGCAUCACUGGGAUUUGUUAGUUCAUCUUAAAGAUUUUCGAAGGAUAUAGUCAGGAUUGGAGAAACUCAAAAUGUAACUAGUCAUUUUUAUUGGUGUAAAUUUGCUAAACACAUAUAAUUCAGCCAUAUUCUUUUUCUACCAUAAAUUUUUCAGUGCUCUGAUUUCUAAGAUAAGUAACAUCAAUGGCGGCAACCCAGAGAUUCACAAGCAACCCUUCAAUAACAAGUCAAGGUACACGCAAGGAAACAGAUUUAGAUUGCAAGACACAAAGGUGAUCCUUUUAAGCAGCAAAGAAGGAUAAAUAUUUAAAGAUCAUAUGAAAGACAUUUUAACAAUGUGUUUUUAAGUGAUCAUGGACUGCUGCUGACUUAUGUAAACUUAAUAUUCUUUCAAUAAGCUGUAUUUUUCUGAAACCUCACAAUGAAAAAUGAAAUUGUAGAUGGCUAAACUCA